rnacentral:rRNA from 1 species
AUUGAACGCUGGCGGCAUGCCUUACACAUGCAAGUCGAACGGUAGAGAGGUGCUUGCAUCUCUUGAGAGCGGCGGACGGGUGAGUAAUGCCUAGGAAUCUGCCUAGUGGUGGGGGAUAACGUUCGGAAACGGACGCUAAUACCGCAUACGUCCUACGGGAGAAAGCGGGGGGAUCUUCGGACCUCGCGCCAUUAGAUGAGCCUAGGUCGGAUUAGCUAGUUGGUGAGGUAAUGGCUCACCAAGGCGACGAUCCGUAACUGGUCUGAGAGGACGACCAGCCACACUGGGACUGAGACACGGCCCAGACUCCUACGGGAGGCAGCAGUGGGGAAUAUUGGACAAUGGGCGAAAGCCUGAUCCAGCCAUGCCGCGUGUGUGAAGAAGGUCUUCGGAUUGUAAAGCACUUUAAGUUGGGAGGAAGGGUAGUAACCGUAAUACGUUGCUACUUUGACGUUACCGACAGGAAUAAGCACCGGCGUAACUUCGUGCCAGCAGCCG